GUACUCACUGAUAAGUGGAUAUUAGGAAGAAAGCUUGGAAUACCCAUGAGGCAACUUACAGACCAAAUGAAGCUCAAGAAGAAGGAAGACCAAAGUGUGGAUGCUUCAGUGCUUCAUAGAAGGGGGAACAAAAUAAUUACAGGAGGUAGAGGGUGGGAGAGACCUGGGGGGAGCAGAGAGGAAAGGGGUGCCGGAUCAGGUGUGGGAGGAUCCAGGAGAGAAGGACAGAGGGAGGGUCAGGAAAUUGAAAGGAGGUAUACAGCUUGCGUUUUUUAUGCUUGUUUAAUAAUCAGGCUUACCUUUUGGUUUUGUUGAUGUGAUUGUUGAUUUUUUCCAUCCUGUGUUUAUUUUUUCCUGUUUUAUUUCUGACAGUAUGAAUGGGCUAUGAAUUAAUUUUAGCCAAAUUUUAUGGCAUUUGUUCUUACUGAGCAUAAAUGAUAAAAUCUGUCUAUAAUAGAUUAAAAGUACACUAAUUAUUUCUUUAUCAGCCAUCAUUAAAUUUAUACACUACUACAUGCCAAUUGCUUUUGACAGUAUAAAGAAUUUUUACAUAUAUAAGUAUAUUCAAAAUCAUUUUCUAGUCUUUAAGAUAAGUUGAAGAGAAAUAAAUUUAGCCCAUUUACAUGUUCUAGUCUGUACAUACAUUGUACACUUUCUUCUUCUCAUGGUGGAACUGGCUUUGUUGUUACAUGUACCAAUGCCUUGGAGUCCAGAAAUUUAAUCAGUAACUGACCUGUUUCCUCUUGUAAACGUUAACUGCAGAUUUUCAUGCCAUUCCAAGUACUUUUUCCUACACAACAAUGAAAAUAGUAGUUGAUCUUAGAUUGUCAAAAAUAUUGAUCUCAAAAGUUCAGACUUAAAAUCUGAGCAGUUAGUAGUUUCAAGGGGGAAAAAGAGGUUAGUUAACCGGUUUGAAAGUGGGUCACCUCUGCUUUAUGAGUCUUUUUAGACAAUCUUUUACCUAUGUUGCUGGAGUGAAUCAGUGACUAUAGAUCAGAUCCUUCCAGCUUUAUGGCAAUAUUCUUUUUUCUUUAAACAUAAGUUUUUUAUUGAAUCUUUGGGGGUUUCAUAUCAUGCAUACUAACUCGCUCAUUUCCCAGUCUUUCCAUAUCCACCCUCUACCCUUGUAACCCCCACUUCUUACACUGAGCAAAAGUAAAAAUAAAGAUUAGAAAGG
rnacentral:lncRNA from 1 species